rnacentral:lncRNA from 1 species
UCUACGUCCGACCCCUGCGAGCCUCCCCGGCCUCCAGCUCAAGUUCCUGAGGACUGAGCCUCCUUGUAGGGUCCGAUCCCAGGGCCUCCGGCCGGUUGCCCCGGGCCAGGGAGGAGGGGGCGGCAGGUAGCCCGGCCGGCAGUCCGAAACCUGGGGAGGCAGAGAAGGGCAGACACAGCCGGGACUCAACCGCAGAGCCCCAUUCACUCUCCGGGAAGUCCACAUCUGGAUUUGAUUCACUUACUCGCUAGUUCCCUACAGCUGGUUUGAAGCAGCCCAGGGAAAAACCACACAACUCACAGAACAAAACCCCAAACCGCCUCCUCCUCGCCCCGUGGGACAAGCCCGCGGGCUCCCGACCCUGCCUGGGACCGGCUGAGGGGGCGAAGAUUUCAGUCAAGUCAAUCUUCAGGCGAGAUUGGCGAGGCUUCAGGAUUCCAGGAGAGGCAAGGAGGCCCUGGCACCUGGAAUGUUGGUCCUCGAAUGAAGUCUGAUAGGGUGGAAACGGAGGAUACCCGAGCUCUCCCUCAACCCUGGGAAGGAAAUGCCAGCGAGGUCUGAAACCAGGCUUUCAUCGGUGGGGGCGUAGCCCGCCCGAAGGUGUGAAACAAGGAAGCUAAGGAUGCUU